ensembl:snRNA LOC120098670 U6 spliceosomal RNA
GCACUCAUUUUGGCAGAACGUUUUCUAAAAUUGAUACAAUAUAGAGAAGAUUAGCCUGGCCUUGAACAGGGAUAACAUACAAAUUCAUGACUUUUUACAGCUAAAU